GACGAACCGUGCGAACGUUGUUCGGAAUCACUGGGCUUAAAGGGCGCGUAGGCGGGCUGCCAAGUCAGGGGUGAAAGCCCACGGCUCAACCGUGGAAGUGCCUUUGAUACUGGCGGUCUCGAGGGAAGUAGGGGCGUGCGGAACUUCCGGUGGAGCGGUGAAAUGCGUAGAUAUCGGAAGGAACACCGGUGGCGAAAGCGGCGCGCUGGACUUCUACUGACGCUGAGGCGCGAAAGCCAGGGG
rnacentral:rRNA from 1 species